GGGCAGCUAGCUCAAUGGUCAGAGCGCAUGCAUCACACGCAUGAGGUUACAGGUUCGACUCCUGUGCUGCCCA
rnacentral:tRNA from 1 species